UUGGCGGUCACAGUAACGCAUUCAAUCGGCUCAAUAGUAAUGGAUGGCCUGGAAGCAGGCCGGUAGCGAUUCAGAUUGCUAGAUGGAGCCCAACAGGAGCUGCUGAGCUGUUGCCCACUUUGUUUGAGAGGGCGGUGCCGGAGCUGUCGCUCACUCCAGGUUGAGUAUUUAGCCAGCAGGCCGUCGUGGAGCAUGUCAUCUUCUUGGACAGCGCAUCAUCUUCGUGAUUUGGAAAUAUCUGGUGGCGUCUCUCACACGCCACGCAGCUUGACCAGGAAUUGUUUGUAUGAGCGAUACCGAAGCAGUCGCUCACUUCAAAUGAGUAUUUGGCCCAAUUUACCGUCGUGGGUGCAUCGUCUUCUUGGGCAGCAGUUCUGCGUCUUGCUUUAGAAACAUUCAUUGUCGUCUCUCACACUCCACAAUCCGUCCAGUAGUUGCAUGUCAGCAGACCCGGGUGGCCCGCAAACAGGCCGGUUGCAGUUCAGGAUGCUAGAUGGAGCCCACAAGGAGCUGCUGGGCUGUUGAAUACCUUGUUCGAGUGGGCGAUGCCGAGGCCGUCGCUCACUCCAAAUUGAGUUCCCAAACCUUGCUUGCAGGACAGCGCAUCAUCGUCGCGGUUUGGAAACAUCCAGUGGCGUCUCUCACACGCCAUGCAGUUUGGCCAGGAAUUGUUUGAAUGGGCGAUACCGAAGCAGUCGCCCACUCUAAAUUGGGCAUUCGACCAGCAGGCCGUCGUGGAGCAUGUCAUCUUUUGGACAGCGCAUCAUCAUUCGUGAUUUGGAAAUAUCUGGUGGCGUCUCUCACACGCCACGCAGCUUGUCCAGAAUUUACAUAUCAGUCGACUUGGUAGUCACAGCAGCGUAUUAAAUCGGCUCCGUUGUAC